rnacentral:snoRNA from 1 species
AAUCCGUAUUGUGGGAAUUGACAGAGUAAACCUUUGUAUCGUUCCCAAGCCUUUGAAUAGCAUUAUGAGUUCUAUUGUUGGAAAGUAGUGAUCUCAUCCCUUAGCUU